UACGAAGGGGGCUAGCGUUGCUCGGAAUCACUGGGCGUAAAGGGUGCGUAGGCGGGUCUUUAAGUCAGGGGUGAAAUCCUGGAGCUCAACCUCCAGAACUGCCUUUGAUACUGAGGAUCUUGAGUUCGGGAGAGGUGAGUGGAACUGCGAGUGUAGAGGUGAAAUUCGUAGAUAUUCGCAAGAACACCAGUGGCGAAGGCGGCUCACUGGCCCCGAUACUGACGCUGAGGCACGAAAGCGUGGGGAGCAACAGG
rnacentral:rRNA from 1 species